CUUCGAUGAAGAGGUGAUGACGAGUCUGAGU
rnacentral:piRNA from 1 species